UGGAAGUCCCGGCAGAGGCUUCCAUCAAGAAUCCCUGCUGUCUUGGGUUUAAGCAGCCCAUUGUAUGGAACAGUAUCAAAGGCUUUCUGAAAAUUGAGAUUAUCCAUGUUGUAUGAAUUAUCAUUUUCCAAUGCAUCUGUAAGCAGCUCCAAAGUAUACAAAGAAGACAGUGAAGUUAGAUAGAGAGCAUCUUUCUACAUAAAGCCCCUCACUCUUUGUCUUCUUGAGGCCAAAACACCCAUCGGAAAGGGAGAAAGAUAAAAGAAAUGGGUCUUGAAGACUUUGGUCACAAGAUAAGUGGCAGACUCCAAUUUGAACUUGGGAGUUCUGACUUCGACUCCAGUUUCCCUCCUCUACAGCAUAGGGAAAGUACCCAGGGUCCUGUGCCCAAGACAUGAGUUUUAAUCCACAUUAAGCAACUCCAUCCUCACUACUCGAGAUAUAAUCUUUGGACCAGCAACUUGAACAGCAUCUAUGUGCUUGUUAGAAUUGCAGAGUCCUGACCCCCACCUAAGAUCUACUAAAUCAGAAUCGGCACUUCAACAAGAACCCCAGAUGAUUCCUAUGUGCACUAAAUUUUGAGAAGUACUGCUGUUCAACUCCGUGAAUAUGGAAAGAUAAUGACCCAGUUGUGUCACUAUACUGUGUCCCUUUGUAACACCACGUUCCCCAGCAGCUUAGCCUCUUCCUGAUGCCCCUGCCUGCCUUCCUCUACUAUGGUACUCUUAUAUCCUCCUAUGGUACUCUCUAACAUUCUAUCUUAUAUUUUAGGCCAGAAAAGACCAAAAGUUUUUUACCUCCUUUGCCAACACAAAGUUCAAUUCACAGUGGUUUCCUAGAGCAUUGUGUUGAACAGGAUUCUGAGGCUCUGUCUGGAGAGGCUGGUAAAAGUCUGAUGUUUGCCAUGGGUGUAGGAAGUGAACGAGCAAAGCAUGUAUGCCAUGGAUUUGCCAUUCUUGUUCUGGACACUCCUUUUCUACUUCUCACUAUCAAUGCUUAUGUAUUUAUUACCUCACUGUCUCAAUGCCAUGCUAAGUAACUGCACAGAAAAUGUGACGAGCCAAUUCCAGCUAAUGGUUGAUCAGUGACUA
rnacentral:lncRNA from 1 species